AAGUCGUAACAAGGUUUCCGUAGGUGAACCUGCGGAAGGAUCAUUAUUGAAAAACAGUUGCUACCGUCCUGACAUUCUAGUCAGUCGACAGUAGCGACCUAUUUCAACCACUUGUGAAUUUGUAAUUUAUUAUCUUACCAACUGACUGUUAACGAAGACUGAUUCAAUAACUUGUUGGUGUUUAAAGACACUAAUACAAUCAUUGAAACAACUUUUGGCAACGGAUCUCUUGGCUCUC
rnacentral:misc_RNA from 1 species